GACGAACGCUGGCGGCGUGCUUAACACAUGCAAGUCGAACGAUGAUGCUCCAGCUUGCUGGGGUGGAUUAGUGGCGAACGGGUGAGUAACACGUGAGUAACCUGCCCCCUUCUUCGGGAUAAGCUUGGGAAACUGGGUCUAAUACUGGAUAUUCUGCAAUUGUCGCAUGGUGGUUGUGGGAAAGAUUUUUUGGUGGGGGAUGGGCUCGCGGCCUAUCAGCUUGUUGGUGGGGUGAUGGCCUACCAAGGCGUCGACGGGUAGCCGGCCUGAGAGGGUGACCGGCCACACUGGGACUGAGAUACGGCCCAGACUCCUACGGGAGGCAGCAGUGGGGAAUAUUGCACAAUGGGCGCAAGCUUGAUGCAGCGACGCCGCGUGAGGGAUGACGGCUUUCGGGUUGUAAACCUCUUUCGAUGGGGAACAAGGCCAUAUUUUUGUGUGGUUGAGGGUACCUGUAGAUGAAGCGCCGGCUAACUACGUG
rnacentral:rRNA from 1 species